rfam:Schistosoma rodhaini strain Burundi genome assembly, scaffold: SROB_scaffold0013737
AUUCAGCUGACGAGUCUCAAGUAGGACAAAACGCGUGUCCCGGAU